rnacentral:lncRNA from 1 species
CUUCAACAGCUAAGAGGAAUUGCUUUAAAUGAAAUGAAUUAUUUUGAUUUUAGGAACUCUGUUGGACGCUAAAACAAUAGACUCAGUAGCUCAAUAGCAAAAAUAAUUAAAAUGAGUGUCAUCUACAGAGACCUUUUAUUCAGAGAUGAAGGUUAUUUUCCUCUCUCUGCAUUCAGCUGCGCCAGUGGGGCGGAGGAGCCCACGGCGGUCGCCAGGCUGUGCAUGGGGGAAACAGCCACCACGAGAUCCUGCAGCUGCUGUGGCAGAGCCUGCUGCCCAUCACUUGGAAAUAUUGCAGCGCUACCCAAGUAGAUGGGCAUUCCUAUCCAGAACCAAGGCAGAUACUGUGGCCUUUGCAAAAUCUGCCUUCUCAAAUCAGUUGUAUUUCCAAGAAGAAUUGUAUUUUCAACUCAGAUAUCUGUCCCAUCUGCACGUACCUGACUAUGUUCAAUUAGCAACUUUGACUUUGGCUGUCAGUCUUGAGUUUUUAUUCUUUAGGUAGGGCAUCGUUCUGGAGAAAGCUCAGGCUGGUUGAGCAUGGACAGCUCCAUGACCAAAGGUUGCCAGCAUAGCGGGGCUGGUCUCACUGCUCCUGUCACUGCCUUCAAAUUUGUGCCAACAGGUAAGUGAGAAGAAAUCUCCCUGGUCACAGCUACAAUGAACUGUAAA